rnacentral:rRNA from 1 species
UUAUGGUUACGCAGGCACUUUGUUGACUCUAGAGAACCUCGGGCCAAUCGCACAUCCCCAUGGCGGCGACUUUUCAUUCGGAUGUCAUCCAUAUCAACUUUCGAUUCCAGUUUCUGUGCCUACCAUGGUGACCACGGGUAACAGGGAACCAGGGUUCCAUUCCGUACAGGGACCCUGAGAAACGGCUACCACAUGCAAGGAAGGCAGCAGCCGCGCAAAUGACCCACUCCCGACGCGGGAAGGCAGUGACGA